GAUCAUGGCUCAGGACGAACGCUGGCGGCGCGCCUAACACAUGCAAGUCGAACGGAGAUUACAGGCGGAAGUUUUCGGAUGGAAGCUUGUAAACUUAGUGGCGGACGGGUGAGUAACACGUGAGCAACCUGCCUAUCAGAGGGGGAUAACGAUUGGAAACGAUCGCUAAUACCGCAUGACAUAGCGGAACCGCAUGGUUCUGUUAUCAAAGAUUUUAUCGCUGGUAGUUGGGCUCGCGUCCGA
rnacentral:rRNA from 1 species